GCCCGAAUGGCGGAAUUGGUAGACGCGUUGGACUCAAAAUCCAAUGUCCUUUAAAAGACGUGCCGGUUCGAGCCCGGCUUUGGGCACCG
rnacentral:tRNA from 1 species